AGCGAACGCUGGCGGCAGGCCUAACACAUGCAAGUCGAACGAACCUUUCGGGGUUAGUGGCGGACGGGUGAGUAACACGUGGGAACGUGCCUUUAGGUUCGGAAUAACUCAGGGAAACUUGUGCUAAUACCGAAUGUGCCCUUCGGGGGAAAGAUUUAUCGCCUUUGGAGCGGCCUGCGUCUGAUUAGCUAGUUGGUUGAGGUAAUGGCUCACCAAGGCGACGAUCAGUAGCUGGUCUGAGAGGAUGAUCAGCCACAUUGGGACUGAGACACGGCCCAAACUCCUACGGGAGGCAGCAGUGGGGAAUCUUGCGCAAUGGGCGAAAGCCUGACGCAGCCAUGCCGCGUGAAUGAUGAAGGUCUUAGGAUUGUAAAAUUCUUUCACCGGGGACGAUAAUGACGGUACCCGGAGAAGAAGCCCCGGCUAACUUCGUG
rnacentral:rRNA from 1 species